rnacentral:rRNA from 1 species
UACGGAGGGGGCUAGCGUUGUUCGGAAUUACUGGGCGUAAAGCGCACGUAGGCGGAUAUUUAAGUCAGGGGUGAAAUCCCGGGGCUCAACCCCGGAACUGCCUUUGAUACUGGGUAUCUGGAGGUCGAGAGAGGCGAGUGGAAUUCCGAGUGUAGAGGUGAAAUUCGUAGAUAUUCGGAGGAACACCAGUGGCGAAGGCGGCUCACUGGCCCGAUACUGACGCUGAGGCACGAAAGCGUGGGGAGCAAACAGG